rnacentral:rRNA from 1 species
GAUGAACGCUGGCGGCGUGCCUAAUACAUGCAAGUCGAGCGAACGGACGAGAAGCUUGCUUCUCUGAUGUUAGCGGCGGACGGGUGAGUAACACGUGGAUAACCUACCUAUAAGACUGGGAUAACUUCGGGAAACCGGGGCUAAUACCGGAUAAUAUUUUGAACCGCAUGGUUCAAAAGUGAAAGACGGUCUUGCUGUCACUUAUAGAUGGAUCCGCGCUGCAUUAGCUAGUUGGUAAGGUAACGGCUUACCAAGGCAACGAUGCAUAGCCGACCUGAGAGGGGGAUCGGCCACACUGGAACUGAGACACGGUCCAGACUCCUACGGGAGGCAGCAGUAGGGAAUCUUCCGCAAUGGGCGAAAGCCUGACGGAGCAACGCCGCGUGAGUGAUGAAGGUCUUCGGAUCGUAAAACUCUGUUAUUAGGGAAGAACAUAUGUGUAAGUAACUGUGCACAUCUUGACGGUACCUAAUCAGAAAGCCACGGCUAACUACGUG